rnacentral:tRNA from 1 species
GGGGGGGUGCCCGAGCGGUCAAAGGGACCAGACUGUAAAUCUGGCGGCGUAUGCCUACGCAGGUUCGAAUCCUGCCCCCCCCA